rnacentral:rRNA from 1 species
UACGGGGGGGGCAAGCGUUGUUCGGAAUUACUGGGCGUAAAGGGCUCGUAGGCGGCCAACUAAGUCAGACGUGAAAUCCCUCGGCUUAACCGGGGAACUGCGUCUGAUACUGGUUGGCUUGAGUGUGGGAGAGGGAUGCGGAAUUCCAGGUGUAGCGGUGAAAUGCGUAGAUAUCUGGAGGAACACCGGUGGCGGAAGGCGGCAUCCUGGACCAUUACUGACGCUGAGGAGCGAAAGCCAGGGGAGCAAACGGG